CAACUUUCGACAACGGAUCUCUUGGCUCUCGCAUCGAUGAAGAACGCAGCGAAAUGCGAUAAGUAAUGUGAAUUGCAGAAUUCAGUGAAUCAUCGAAUCUUUGAACGCACCUUGCGCCCUUUGGUAUUCCGAGGGGCAUGCCUGUUUGAGUGUCAUUAA
rnacentral:rRNA from 2 species